CCUACGGGUGGCAGCAGUCGAGAAUCAUUCACAAUGGGGGAAACCCUGAUGGUGCGACGCCGCGUGGGGGAUUGAAGGUCUUCGGAUUGUAAACUGCUGUCAGGUGGGAGUAAAUUAAAAAGAUAGUACCACAAGAGGUAGAUACGGCUAACUCGGUGCCAGCAUCCUCGGUAACACAGAGGUCUGAUGCUUUGUUCGGAAUCACGGGUCGUAAAGCGUGCGUGGGCUGUUUCGUAAGUCGGGUGUGAAAGGCGCGGGCUCAACCCGCGGACGGCACAUGAUAGUGCGAGACUAGAGUAAUGGAGGGAGAACCGGAAUUCUCGGUGUAGCAGUGAAAUGCGUAGAUA
rnacentral:rRNA from 1 species